GUCCGUAUUUACGUUGAGGCGGGAGCCGCCGCCCUUCAUUCACCCACAUGGUCCUUCGAGGUGCUGCCGCCGCCGCCCGACCCGCGCCUUCGCGCCACUUCGCGCCCUCGGGCGAGGCCGGGGGGGUGGGGACGGCCUCCGCCGCGCGGCCGAGCCUCGCGCCCCUCGCCGAGCCCCUUCGCGGGCCGGGCCGGCCGCACCCCCCGGGCCCGGGGCCUCGGGGUCGUAGUCAAGCGGGGGCGGGUGGGGAGGCGGGCGCCGGAGCCCACGGCGGGCGAGGCGAAGAUGGUGGCGGCGACUUCUCCCGUCAUUCAUACACGUGGACCUAACUUCGCCAAGAGCUUAUCCUAAGGAUAGUUGCUGAAAACGAAGUUUUCGCAAGUGGGUGAGUGUAUUCUAAUUUUCUUUAACUUUUCUUUAAAAUAACUUUCUCUUGACUUUAAUUUGAAUAAUUAAGAUGUAAUUGGGUUUUUCAAGGGGUGAAAUGGGUAGUUUGUCCAUUUACAUUUUCUAGAUAAUUAACUCUGGGUCAGCUAAUUUUUAAGUUAGUAAAAAGUACAAUCCAGAUAUCUUUAUAAAUCUUUGGAAACUGAUGCACAGUUUACAAAUGUAAUUUUAAAACUGCUUUAAGUUGGAUGAUAAAAUCUAAUCUGUAGUGUUCCCAAGAUUUAAAAAUUAAGUGGAAUAUAUAAGAUCGACCAGUUGAUAAACUUGAAGUAUAGUCUGAACAGUAAUUUUAUGAAUUAGUUUACCAAAUAAUUGCUAAUUGGAAGCAGAAGAAAAGAUGUUUUUCCACGUGGAUGUGAAGAUUUCCUCUAAAAGGUACAUGAGUCAAAUUAUAUUCUCAUUUAUUUGCAAUCUGAUUUUGAUUUUGUAAGUAUGCCUUUGGGAAUGGAAGGUAAAGGAAGAGCCACCACUUUCUUUUACGGUAUUAGAAUGAUGAUUAAUUAUGAUUGUCUUGUGAAAAAAAAAGAGUUCUCUAUUUUUAAAGUCUAAAUGUGCUUCUGAAUGGAACUCACGGGUUUAAGGUAAUUGGACUCGUUUUCUCUUCCCCAUUAAGGAUUAUGCUAAAUUUUGUAUGUUUCAUAGCCUGUAAGAGUUUGAGGUGUUAUUCUAAUUAUUUAUUUAAAAUUUAGCAGGAAUAAAGAGAACAUCACCUUGUAAAACCUGAAGAUUGUGACCAGUCAGAGUAAUGUCAAAGUGCUUACAGUGCAGGUAGUGAUAUGUGCAUCUACUGCAGUGAAGGCACUUGUAGCAUUAUGGUGACAGCUGCCUCGGGGAGCCAUUGGUGGGCUUUAAAGCGCAGGGCCUGCUGGUGUUGAGUGCUUUUUGUUCUAAGGUGCAUCUAGUGCAGAUAGUGAAGUAGAUUAGCAUCUACUGCCCUAAGUGCUCCUUCUGGCAUAAGAAGUUAUGUUUUCAUCCAAGCCAAGCCAAGCAAGUAUAUAGGUGUUUUAAUGCUUUUUGUUUGCAGUCCUCUGUUAGUUUUGCAUAGUUGCACUACAAGAAGAAUGUAGUUGUGCAAAUCUAUGCAAAACUGAUGGUGGCCUGCUAUUUCCUUCAAGUAAUUUUUACUAAUUUUGUGUACUUUUAUUGUAUCGAUGUAGAAUCCGCCUGGUGUGUCUGAUGUGACAGCUUCUGUAGCACUAAAGUGCUUAUAGUGCAGGUAGUGUUUAGUUAUCUACUGCAUUAUGAGCACUUAAAGUACUGCUAGCUGUAGAACUCCAGCCUCGGCCUGUCGCCCAGUCAAACUGUCCAGUUACUGAACACUGUUCUAUGGUUAGUUUUGCAGGUUUGCAUCCAGCUGUGUGAUAUUCUGCUGUGCAAAUCCAUGCAAAACUGACUGUGGUAGUGAAAAGUCUGUAGAAAAGUAAGGGAAAAUCAAACCCCUUUCUACACAGGUUGGGAUCAGUUGCAAUGCUGUGUUUCUAUAUGGUAUUGCACUUGUCCCGGCCUGUUGAGUUUGGUGGGGAUUGUGACCAGAAGAUUUUGAAAAUUAAAUAUUACUGAAGAUUCACCUUCCACUUUUAAAUGUUCCAGAGAUAAAAAGUACUAAAAGUGCAAUUUUAAUUUGUCAGUGUGAAGUUUAUAUAUGUAACUUUGUUUCUUCAAUCAGAUUUCAUCUUUUUGUACUAAAACAUUUCACUACUAGGAUUGCAUGUCAGAUUUUACUAUGUUUAUAAUAUUUUUUGUCUGAUUAUUUGGUUAUCAAGCAUUCCAUAAUGACUGUCUGUAUAAAGGCUAUUUACUUUGAUAAAUGCACAAUAAUUUGUAAAAUUAGGAUAUGCCUCUUUGCUUUCUUAAUGUUUUAUUUUAAAAUUUAAUAAAUUAUGAUAUUUGUACACUACUUAAGUUUUUAAAUUUGGUAAAAAUUUCAUUCUGUUUAAAGCAGUGUAUAAAGAAAGUUGUUUAAGCAUGGAAUUUAGAUUUGUGAGGGAGACUGUCUUUUUUCUAGUAAACAAAUAUUUUACCAAUGUUACCAGUUCAUGAUAAAACUGUUAACUGGUUAUGUACUAGUUCUCUGGUAAUUUUUAAUGAUGUAAAAACUUUUAGUGAUCCUUAGACUCUGCUUUCUGGAAGUUAAAAAUAAGAAAACAAGACAAACUGAUGCCAGAUGGAGUCACAAGUAUGUGUAUGCGUACAUGUCUCUAACACCAAGAGUGUAGAAGUUGGGUGGAAAUUUGAAAAUCAUUUUGCAACAAUUCUAGGCUAAUGUAACUUACGUCACUGGAGUAGAACCUAAGAAGUGGCAGUUACAGUAUUUUAUCCAACAUUUCUGCCCUUUUUUUAAUGUGUCUUGUCUUUAGUUUAUGUUUCUUAUGUGUAGAAAAAUGUGGGUUAACUUAGGAAUGAUCAAAUUUGAAGAUGGGUUGUUAAAAUUGUGCCUGUGCUAAAUUUUAGUAAUAGGAAACAAAUUUCUAUAACAUUAUUAUACCACCUGAUAAGUUUAUAAAACAUUUAAAAAAUAUAGUAAGUCUAAUAAGAAAAUUUAAGCCUCUUGAAAUUAAAGGAGUUUAAUUAUGGAUCCCUGAAUAGAAAGGUAAGAGUUUCACAGUUCUGGAGCUGAUUAAAAGGUAUAAAUUUUCAGAAUGAGAAAAUAGUAAGAACAAUGCAGUGAUUUAUAAAACAAAUCUAAUUGUCCCUGAGUGUUCUUAAACCUUUGUGUUAUGAAAAAAAACCAACUGGAAAUUAUUCUGCUUGGGGUUAUUUUCUGACAAACAUUUCUUUAAAUAUUUUGUAAAGUUACAUAAUGUUAGCAUAGCGUACUAUGCUGUGGUUAUAAGGAGAAAAAGUGAUGUUUACAUGUACCAAACCAUAUAAUUGUAUUUUAAAGCUUUGGGGGAAAUACCUCUAGCAUUGUGGUUUAAAGUGGAACAGUGAUGAUUUCUCUAAUAUGCUAAAAUGUAACUCAAACUUUAAUAACAAAAUCUUAAAAUGGUUAACUCUUUCUCCCUAGACAUUUCACCUCUAGUACUUGUGUUCAGAACUUAACAGGACUUUUAAUCAAGACUUAAUAUCUACUAAACAAGUUAACAGUAUAAUUUCUUUUGGGGUUUUCAGUGGGCUGAACACUUUCUUAGACACUAACAGAAGACUGCAAAUAUAAAGGUUGACAUUAAUUUAGCCAUUUUUUGAUACAAAUAAGUGAACAAGUUGGUUGUAGCUGAAAAUUUCUCAUUGACCUGGGGAGAGUGGCCUUUUACUGUUUUAACCUUUAAAUUGCUUAAGACUUAAGGUACUGACCCAUUGCUUCAGGUUUGAGAGCAUUAAAACUCAGAAAAAAAUACAAACUUCUUCCUAGUAUUUCGCAUGUUACAUAUGCACGUACAAACUUAUAAUUUAUGUUUAAAAGGAAAGCACUUACGGUUUUACAAAUUAUCCUUUGUGAGAUAGUGAUUUUACUAAAAAUUUCUUUGAGAUCUUUAUUUUACAGGCAAACAUGUCUUAAGAAGAGCAAGCCAGAUGUGGGUUUUUCCCUACACUUGGAAGAGUCCUACAGAAUGAUUCCUAACAAAAUGCAACCUGCAGCUGCCUGGAGAACAAUUCUUUGUCAUGUUAAAGCUUAUGUACUUAAUGAAAUAACUUGUUAGUAACUGACAAUCCUGGUGUGGUUUGUCUAGCAUUAAGAUAAGUUAGGAGUCUGGGCUGAGCAGUAAAGGUAAGGAUAGCUCUAUACAGGCUAAUUUUUGGUGUAUGUCUGGAAAUACACAUACAAUACCUACUUGAGUCUUCACUCUCGAAAUGUGAAUUAAUGUACUUGGCUGUUUUGAUAAAUUAAUACACUUUGUAGUCUUAGUGAUAACGUUAGUAAAAUGUAAUAUUCUUUGUGAGUUUUAAAGGAUAAGAUGGAUGUAUCCCAUCAAUUUUAAGACCAUAGAAAAUUUGUUUUAAAAGGCUUAGUUUUUCCUAUUUGAACCACAGAGACACAGCAUUGAGAUGCCUAUUUUAUGUAUUUGCAAUUUAGUCAUGCUCUUUGAAUUGUUUAGUGCAUUUAAUGUAAAUAAUAAAGUUAUGUAUUUUAAAACUGCUUGUUGAGAAAUUGUCCAGAAUGAACAUAAUGAAAUAAAAAUUUUAAAGUUUUU